CCUGGUAGGUGGCUGUGGAGGGAGGGCUUGGGAUGCCGGGACCAUCCCAGGACCCCGUUCCAUGGCCCUGCUUGUCCCCAUUUCCCGCGACAGCCACCUACGUGAAGG